UUGGAGGGCAAGUCUGGUGCCAGCAGCCGCGGUAAUUCCAGCUCCAAUAGCGUAUAUUAAAGUUGUUGCAGUUAAAAAGCUCGUAGUUGAAUUUCGGGAUUAGUACGUUGGUCGUGCCUUAGGUACGUACUGGUGUUACUGGUUCCUACCUUCUGACGAACCAUCAUGUCAUUAAUUUGGUGUGGUGGGGGAUCAGGACUGUUACUUUGAAAAAAUUAGAGUGUUUAAAGCAGGCUCGCGCUUGAAUACAUUAGCAUGGAAUAAUGAAAUAGGACGUUGAUCCUAUUUUGUUGGUUUCUAGGAUUGACGUAAUGAUUAAUAGGGAUAGUUGGGGGCAUUAGUAUUCAAUUGUCAGAGGUGAAAUUCUUGGAUUUAUUGAAGACUAACUACUGCGGAGGCAUUUGCCAAGGAUGUUUUCAUUAAUCAAGAACGAAAGUUAGGGGAUCGAAGACGAUCAGAUACCGUCGUAGUCUUAACCAUAAACUAUGCCGACUAGGGAUCGGAUGAUGUUAUUUUUAAUGACUCAUUCGGCGCCUUACGGGAAAC
rnacentral:rRNA from 1 species